rnacentral:rRNA from 1 species
CCUACGGGAGGCAGCAGUGAGGAAUAUUGGUCAAUGGACGGAAGUCUGAACCAGCCAUGCCGCGUGCAGGAAGACGGCUCUAUGAGUUGUAAACUGCUUUUGUACAAGGGUAAACCUGAAUACGUGUAUUCAGCUGAAAGUACUGUACGAAUAAGGAUCGGCUAACUCCGUGCCAGCAGCCGCGGUAAUACGGAGGAUCCAAGCGUUAUCCGGAUUUAUUGGGUUUAAAGGGUGCGUAGGCGGAUUGAUAAGUUAGAGGUGAAAUUUUCGGGCUUAACUGGGGAACUGCAUCUAAUACUGGUGAUCUAGAGAGUAGGUGCGGUAGGCGGAAUGUAUGGUGUAGCGGUGAAAUGCUUAGAGAUCAUACAGAACACCGAUUGCGAAGGCAGCUUACCAAUCUAUAUCUGACGUUGAGGCACGAAAGCGUGGGGAGCAAACAGGAUUAGAUACCCGAGUAGUC